rnacentral:lncRNA from 1 species
UAAGGAAAUCCAUUAAUUUUCCUUCAAUAAAUUCUGCACAGCUUGACAUAAUAAGAUACAGACUGAGAAAAGAGCAAACACUGUUGUCAUUCACAUUAAAAGAUUAUCAAAGAAUAAGGAUUCACUUCCAAAUCUCUAAAAAAAUGACAUCUACAUAUGAAAGGUGCUAUGCAACUAAUGUGAUACACAACAAGGCUCAUGAACCAUUCUUGGCUAUUAGCUUUGUCAUUGCUUGAAAUCAAUCUUGUCUUUAACAUUAUAUGCAUCACAUUUCAGUGCUUGAAAUCAAUCUUGCCUUUAACAUUAUAUGCAGCACAUUUCAGGGCUUGAAAUCAAUCUUGUCUUUAACAUUAUAUGCAUCACGUUCUAUGUCCUUAACUUUCAAUCAAUACAUUCACUGGCUUCAUGCUCCUUUAACUACCCUCUCCAACAAAUUUUAACCCAAGAGAAAGCAAGAUGUUGUUCAUCAGAAGUGCAUGAUGCUGACAACCAAAACCUUUAAAUCCCAAUUUAUCAAACUAUCAUUUUAUUAUAAGAACAAUAAACCAAACAGGUUGACCAAACUUGACAGAAAGAGACUGAAUAUGAGAGAAAACUUCAUCAGUAAUAGUAGAGUCUUGAACGAGGAUAAGAACAUUAUAAAGCCACCCAACAUUCUCCAUCAAAGUGACCAAUAAGUUUAGUUUCUAAACAUACAACAAAACUGCUACCACAUCUUGAUAGGUUUGUUGCCAAUAGUCAUUAAACUAGUAGUGUGUGUUUUGUGACUUCAACUUUCAAUCCUUAAAUAAUUUCAGAACUCACAAAGGAAGUUACAAGCGGUAUUCAAAAUCAUGCUUAACCAAACUGAUUCGAAAAGUGAUUUAAAUUUAAAGACCUACUUCAACAAACAAACUAACAAGAAAUUAGGAUAUGAAAGAGUAUAGGGAAAUCUCAUGUUAUCUCUUUGAAAUUAGUUAUAAACACAACAUACAAAUCGACACUAGUGGUCAUUCUCUUAAUCAGUGCAGAACAUGUAACCUCACAAAAUUGUUUCUUUUUUUUUAUAGAACAUGAAUCAUUCAAAUCAAGUCACAUGAUUCAAAAUCGAGAAAAAUACCUUGAUAUAGAAAACGAAAUACAGAGGGAAAAUGAUAACAAGAAGAAUGAUUCAGGAGCUCAGCAAUACAGCAGCAAAGAUCAAUAGAACUCGAACACGAAUCCAAAGCUUUGAGGAUUAGGAAUUUCACUACCAAACUCCGGAAAUUGUCUCUGAUUUUUCUUCGAUUUUUCUCCGAAAAUGAACUAAAAAGAUUGAAUCAAAAUCGAACUUAAACCAUUUUGUUGUUUUUGUUUCUUUUAUCUUUCUAAAAAAAGAAGCAGGCUAAAGAAAAAUGGCUUGAAGAAAAUGACCACUUCAAACCCUAGAAACUCGACUCAAUUUUUCUGAAGAUAUUUCCCAAUAUUUUCUCUAACCUAGCACACAGACUUACCUCGAAUAUAUAUAGCCUUCAAAAUCUUAAAAAAUCUGCCCUAAAAUCCGAAAUAUGUUCAGGUCUUUGAACAAUUUUUGGGACAAAUGGAGGGCGUGGAUUUUUUUACAUCUAUCCAUGGCUCCCAUUCAUCGAAUAAAUUGUUCCUAUAGUACAGAAAUCAUGCGAUUUGAGGGAAUAUUCGAAUUCUUUCUGACAAAAAAACGUUGGGAAUCAAAUGACAUGGAGGGGAGGGGACCAUUUGAGUGAACUCGGGCGAGUUGAGGUUGAAUUGGGGAUUGAAUCAGUGAAGGAGAUGGUGAACAGUGAGGGUGCGAUGCUUCAUCAGUUAGGUCUAGGGUUCAUGAUUUUGGGUAAAAAUUAUCAGAUGGUUUAUAUAUUAG